rnacentral:lncRNA from 1 species
AAAGAUCUUAGAGCUAAUACGCAAAGUCGGGGAUCCUAAAAACAUACCGAAAGAACUUAGAGCUAAUACACAUAGUCGGGGAUCAUAAAAACGACCGAUAGAACUUAGAGCUAAUACGCAAAGUCGAGGAUCAUAAAAACGGCCGAAAGAAAUUAGAGCUAAUACGCAAAGUCGGGGAUCAUAGAAACGACCGAAAAAACUUAGAGCUAAUACGCAAAGUCGGGGAUCAUAAAAACGACCGAAAUAACAUAGAGCUAAUACGCAAAGUCGGGGAUCAUAAACCGACCGAAAGAACUUAGACCUAAUACGCAAAGUUAGGAAUAAAAAAAACGACCGAAAGAACUUAGAGCUAAUACACAAUGUCGGGGAUCUUAGAAACGACCGAAAGAAUUUAGAGCUAAUACGCAAAGUCGGGGAUCAUAAAAACGACUAAAAGAACUUAGAGAUAAUAUGCAAAGUCGGGGAUCAUAAAAAAGAUCGAAAGAACUUAGAGCUAAUACGCAAAGUCGGGAUCAUAAAAACGACCGAAAGAGCAGAGCUCGUGCAUGAGAAGAAACUGUUACUAAGCUCUCGUCUAAUGCCAUGAAAGAGAAGAACAUGAAGUAGGAAUUUGUUUAAAAAU